rnacentral:misc_RNA from 1 species
CGGAAGUAAGACCUCCGUGGAGAGACUGAAGCGAGGCAUCGUGCACGCUCGUAUUCUUGUUCGGGAAUGUCUUAUGGAGUGUGAAAGAAGUGCCAGAAGUUAGAUGUUCAAUUGUACGAAAAGAUAAACUCCUACACAGCUGAAUAUGAAACGUUACAUAUUGCCAUAACUUCUUAAGGUUUUGACUCUUUAUAUUGUGUUAUGAUGUUAAGUGCAAUGCAAUUGUACAAAAAGUGUCAUUUUACAUGUAUAAGCAUUCUUAAUUUAUGUGUUAAGAAGAUGAAUUUUGAAUCAUGCAGUUUAUGAAAAUGUCAUAGAAAUAAUCAUUCAUUUGGUAGUAUAUAUCACAAAUCAGUUGUUUAAAAUGACAUUUUAAAUGUUUAUACAAAAUCACAUUGAUUGUGACAUUGUAUUUUUACAGUAUUUAAACUGUGAACUUUAUUUCAUUAAACAUUUCAUACAUUUUUUAGAUACCUUACUGUGUGUAUAUGCAAUGUAAAAUGAAGUAAAUGUUGGAUACGUAAUGAUACAAUAUAUAUAGAUAUAAAUAUUUUAUUAUCUGGCCACUUCUGUACUUUUAUCAUUGUAAAACUACAACGUCCUGUCAAUUGAAUUAAAGAAUGAUGUCAAGUU